rnacentral:rRNA from 1 species
AUUGAACGCUGGCGGCAGGCCUAACACAUGCAAGUCGAACGAGUGGCGGACGGGUGAGUAAUGUCUGGGAAACGGCCUGAUGGAGGGGGAUAACUACUGGAAACGGUAGCUAAUACCGCAUACCCUAGGAUGUGCCCAAAUUGGAUUAGCGAGUAGGUGGGGUAAAGGCCCACCUAGGCGACGAUCCCUAGCUGGUCUGAGAGGAUGACCAGCCACACUGGAACUGAGACACGGUCCAGACGCCUACGGGAGGCAGCAGUGGGGAAUAUUGCACAAUGGGCGCAAGCCUGAUGCAGCCAGGCCGCGUGUGUGAAGAAGGCCUUCGGGUUGUAAAGCACUUUCAUCGAGGAGGCGUUACUCGCAGAAGAAGCACCGGCUAACUCCGUGCCAGCAGCCGCGGUAAUAC